AGCAUGCCCAAGUUGGAUUCUUCCACAUGGAUAAGUGUAAAACCCGCGUCUCCUUUGCAUCCUCCAGGACCAGAUGAUAAUACCAGACUGUUUUAUGGAUGCUAUGAGCCUCAAGAGUUUACUUAACCAAAUCACUGCUGAAUCAUAAGUUUACCUAGAUCUUACUAGUGCGUGUUUUCCCUGCUUGCCUGCUUCAGCACAAGGUGGUUUUUUAUAAAGCAUAAAAGACAGAGCUGUGUAGAGGGCCUCCAGAGCACUCAUUUGGUCCUUGGCCAAGUCUGGUCCAGACUCAGCACAACCCCGGGAGGAAUUCGGCCCAGCGGAGAAUAAUCCACCCACUCCAGAACAUGAAUCCGGAUUGGUGAGAAUAGUUCAACCAUGUCCUGACAAGUAUCCCAAUCCGGAUUGGGUUACCUCAAUCCCGCCAAGAACCGGGAGCAAGACCAACUCCAACCCUGGUUCGAGGGACCAACAAUGCAAGGACGCAAUCCCGGAGGUGCACCCAACCCGGAGAGAAUUCCAUGACCCUGGAGAGGCAAUCAACCCGGGUUGGUGGACACCAGUCCUGCCGGAACUUAGUCUGGAUAUGAACCGGGAUCCAAGCUCAAUGGUCAACUACUGACACUAUGAAGACAAACCUCAGAACACUCCAAAAUACUAUUCCUUAGCUGACACCUGGACAGGUGUUAAGCAUCCAAGCCCUACAGAUGGACGGCAGGAUCCAAGGUACACAUCCUUAAACCCUAAUCCUUUGCCUAUAAAUAGACCAAGGAUGAGAGGCUUAAGGAUCUUCUUCUCCACACUCUCAUAUUUCUCACACACUCUAAGCCAUCAUACACAGCAGCCAUACACCUUCACCCACCACACAUAGAUAGCUCAUUUCCCGUCUAUCUAUUUUCCGACGCCUGUACUCAUUCUCACGCCGGAGGCGUCGCGGGGCUCAAACCCCCCUCCGGUGUUGUUUUGCAGACACCCGUCCAGCAGCUACACCGCAAGACACCAGUACACAGCGGAGGAAGCACCGGAACGGGAUUUGGCGUUAUCAUUUGGCGCUAGAAGGAGGGGGAGGUUGUAUUCUCCGUCCUGUGGUCACGGUGCCACUGGACUCAUCUUCAUCAGCAAACUCCCGAAAAGGGAGUCCCGAUUCAACCCUGUAAGCUUCAAAAUGCACUCAAAUCUCUCAAAACCCUCUCAGCCAUGAUUCUCUUUGUUGUGUGCAUGUUAGCAAACCCUGUCUAGAAGCACCCUAACUUUGUCUGUAGUACAUCAAGACACCUUGUCCUGUAGUCCCUUACACCUUUGUCAUUUAACUAUUUCUAGCAUUUCUUGAAGUAGUAAGUUGACUAUCUGCCUACACUAUUUCUAUCAUUCCACUAUUGUCUAUACUGCACACAUACACUUUCACCAAAAAGCAAGCAUACUCCCUGGGUAGUUCUUGUUUAAAUCGUUCACUAUAAUCAUGACAAGAGGUGGAAAAACCCAAACCCAAUCAACCCGAUCCUAGCAGUUCAACCCGGUGGACCAGGACAAUCCACAUCAGGAUCUCAUCUCUAAACCACUCUUGAUCGGGAUCAAUCCAGAAGAGACCCGGAUCAACCUAGACGAUGCCCGGGUCACAAUUGAAAUGAACCAGUUAAGUGCAUCGAUGUCCCGAUGACCGCAGACCAUGUUACAUAUCUAACCAACUUAGAGUUGGCCGAAGCAAUCCGGUUAUACCAGGAACAACGAGCCGAGAACCUCAAAGGACCCGGGUUGAUUGCUGAUUUUGAAGACUUUGAAAAUUCCCGCCAAUCCCGGGGUUCCGUUUUUGACCGGAUUGGUGACAAAGUAAGGAAAAAGAAGUAGAGAAAAAGUGAUGCCACAAGGCGAAAGAUCCUGGCCAAAAAAAAAGAAAAAACAGAACACAUCCGGAGGGAAGAAGGAGAAAAGCUAGAGCAGAAAAUUCAAAGAAGGAUCCAGCUAGAAGAAUAAAGGCUUAUGAGCAAGUCCCACUUCAAUCAUGAUCUAUCUCUUACUUGGAAUUUUUUUUUUCCAAGGCAAACAAACAAAAAGCUACCCCGAGUUCAAUCAUGAAUUAUCUCCUACUUGGAAAAAAUUUUCAAAGGCAAACAAGCAAAAGCUAUCCAGGUUCAAUCAUGAGCUAUCUCUUACUUGGAAAAAUUUUUUUAAGGCAAACAAGCAAAAGCUACCCGGGUUCAAUCAUGAGCUAUCUCUUACUUGGAAAAAAUUUUCUAAGGCAAACAAGCAAAAGCUACCCGGGUUCAAUCAUGAGCUAUCUCUUACUUGGAAAAAAUUUUCCAAGGCAAACAAGCAAAAGCUACCCCGGUCCAGUUAUGAUUUAUCUCUACUUAGAAAAAUUUUCCAAGGCAAAAACCAAAAGCUACCCCGGUUCAAUUUUGAGCUAUCUCUUACUUGGAAAAAAUUUUCUAAGGCAAACAAGCAAAAGCUAUCCGGGUUCAAUCAUGAGCUAUCUCUUACUUGGAAAAAAUUUUCUAAGGCAAACAAGCAAAAGCUACCCGGGUUCAAUCAUGACCUAUCUCUUACUUAGAAAAAAUUUUCUAAGGCAAACAAGCAAAAGCUACCCCGGUCUAGUUAUGACCUAUCUCUUACUUUAAAAAGUUUUCAGUUUUUCAAAAAAAUUUCUUAGGCAAAAAAGCAAAAGCUACCCCGGUUCAAUUUUGAGCUAUCUCUUACUUGGAAAAAAAUUUUCUAAGGCAAACAAACAAAAGCUACCCGGGUUCAAUCAUCUUACUUAGAAAAAUUUUCUAAGGCAUAAAGCAAAUGCUACCCCGGUCUAGUUAUGACCUAUCUCUUACUUAGAAAAAAAUUCUUGAAAAAUUUUAUUAGGCAAAAAAACAAAAGCUACCACGGUCCAGUUAUGACUUAUCUCUUACUUAGAAACCAUCUAUAGCGACCCGGAUCAGAUGACGACAGCAAAAACCUCCCCUUGUCCGGACCAACCCAGACCAAAGGCAAAAAGCAAAAUCUCACUUCUUGUCCGGAUCAACCCGGACUGGGGGGCAAAAAGCAAAGCUUCACCUCUUGUCCGGAUCAACCUGGAUUGGGGGGCAAAAGAAUACUUAUACCCCUAGUCCAUAUCAACCCAGAUCAGGGUGCAACAGAAACUUACUACUCCUAGUCCAGAUCAGUCCGAAUUAAGGAGCCGUGGCAAAUUUUUACUCCUACUCCAUUCUCGUCCAGAUCGAAGACAAGAUUCGCAUUAUUCCCUACUCCCUCACACAGAAAAUCUGUAUAAGGGAGUGGGGGGCAAAUGAUAGUAUAUAAUCCAACCCGGCCGUAUUCUCAAGGUCCUUGGCCAAGUCUGGUCCAGACUCAGCACAACACCGGGAGGAAUUCGGCCCAGCGGAGAAUAAUCCACCCACUCCAGAACAUGAAUCCGGAUUGGUGAGAAUAGUUCAACCAUGUCCUGACAAGUAUCCCAAUCCGUUGGGUUACCUCAAUCCCGCCAAGAACCGGGAGCAAGACUAACUCCAACCCUGGUUCGAGGGACCAACAAUGCAAGGACGCAAUCCCGGAGGUGCACCCAACCCGGAGAGAAUUCCAUGACCCUGGAGAGGCAAUCAACCCGGGUUGGUGGACACCAGUCCUGCCGGAACUUAGUCUGGAUAUGAACCGGGAUCCAAGCUCAAUGGUCAACUACUGACACUAUGAAGACAAACCUCAGAACACUCCAAAAUACUAUUCCUUAGCUGACACCUGGACAGGUGUUAAGCAUCCAAGCCCUACAGAUGGACGGCAGGAUCCAAGGUACACAUCCUUAAACCCUAAUCCUUUGCCUAUAAAUAGACCAAGGAUGAGAGGCUUAAGGAUCUUCUUCUCCACACUCUCAUAUUUCUCACACACUCUAAGCCACCAUACACAGCAGCCAUACACCUUCACCCACCACACAUAGAUAGCUCAUUUCCCGUCUAUCUAUUUUCCGACGCCUGUACUCAUUCUCACGCCGGAGGCGUCGCGGGGCUCAAACCCCCCUCCGGUGUUGUUUUGCAGACACCCGUCCAGCAGCUAUACCGCAAGACACCAGUACACAGCGGAGGAAGCACCGGAACGGGAUUUGGCGUUAUCAAUGAUCAGUUGGUAUUUACUAUAAGCAUCUUCAUUUGCUGUCUCUUUUUCUCCCAAGCACUGGCAUUAGUCAUAUUCCAAGAUAUAACUCAACUGAUUAGCAUCCCUUUUACUUCAGUAGCAAAAAAAACAUUAAACUUCCAAGUUAGAGGUUCAGGACACUAUUUACGUCUGUGCUUAAUCCACAUAAAAGACUGUCCGAGGGCAUAAUGACAAACUGCAAAGGAAUGGAACAUGUAUGUAUAGAACACAUAACCGAUCCAACAAUAAGGUAUUUUGUGCCACAGAUUUCUAUGAUAACGUACAAAAUAUAUCAGAUGAUGCCACAACCUUUGUUGAUAAUUACAUAUCAAAUAUAUAUGUGAUAUCAACAAGAACUUUUCUCAAGUCAAGUGUCGAGUGGAGAAUUUUGCUAUGUUCUAAUUUCUCUUGUUACAUUACUUCAUUCUCAUACUUUAAAGUACUUUCAAGUACAAGGCACCAGAGAAACCCAUGACAGACAAAUUUCCUUCAUUUCUUUCUUUUUUCUUUUGUAAAAAAACUGACACUUACAAUCUCCUUGGAUGAUCAGUACAUCUACAAAAAAUAACGAAAAAUUACAUAGUUAACCUCAGUAAAAGCCCAAAAUCUUCCACCAGAGUGAACCAACUAAUCCCCAUAUUGUAAUGUUGAUGAUGGCCAUUAAAAUCCCCAGUUUCAGUAUAUCUAGUAGUUUUACAUAACCCGCUGCCAGAGAAGAAGGAAAAACAAAGAAAGUAUUAACUCAGGU